rnacentral:ncRNA from 1 species
GGAUAGAGGUGCGGUUUUAAUGAGUACGGUUCCCGUGGCCUGCCAGGGCUGCAACCGGGGGCGCGGAAAGGUAACGCCGCCGAAGGGAGUCCGACCGGCAAACGGCCCCUGGGUGCCUGGAUGAAGAAUCCGGCAACUGUCAUCAUUUUGGUGUGAUGGAGCGCUAUC